GCUGGUUCUGAUAAUAUAGCCAUAAGUGUAAUAAAAAAAAUCAUUUGAAUUUAUAGCUCAACCUCUUACCCAAAUUAUCAAUCUUUCGCUUUCAAGUGGCAUUUACCCCGAUUUACUAAAAAUAGCUAAGGUAAUUCCUGUAUUUAAAACUGAUAAUCCUGAAGAUUUUAGAAACUAUAGACCAAUCUCGCUAUUAUCAAAUUUUUCGAAAAUUUUUGAAAAAGUCAUGCAUAAUCGCAUUAUUGACUUCGUAAAUCGAUUGGAAAUUCUUUAUCCUCUCCAAUUUGGAUUUCGAAAGAACCAUUCCACAGUGUCUCCACUUAUAUGCCUGAUGAAUAAAAUUACUACAUCUAUUGAUCAAAAUGAAAUCACAGUCGGUAUCUUCCUAGAUCGGUCAAAAGCAUUUGACACCCUUGAUCAUCAAAUUUUGUUCUCUAAGUUGGAACACUGUGGUAUCCGUGGUAUUGCAUUGCUAUGGAUCAAAAGCUAUAUUUAGCUUUUUUUUAAUUUUUUUUUUAUAAUAGGAAACAUUUGUCCAAUUCAAUGAGACCCGUUCCAUCGAACGGAUUAUUAAGUGCGGGGUUCCUCAGGGUUCAAUAUUAGGC